rnacentral:piRNA from 1 species
AUGCUCAGAGGCCCUGUGGGAUUUGGGAUGC